CCUACGGGUGGCAGCAGUGAGGAAUAUUGGUCAAUGGACGAGAGCCUGAACCAGCCAAGUAGCGUGAAGGAUGACUGCCCUAUGGGUUGUAAACUUCUUUUAUAAAGGAAUAAAGCGAGGCACGUGUGCCUUUUUGCAUGUACUUUAUGAAUAAGGAUCGGCUAACUCCGUGCCAGCAGACGCGGUAAUACUGAGGAUCCGAGCGUUAUCCGGAUUUAUUGGGUUGAAAGGGACAGUAGAUGGGUGGUUAAGUCAGUUGUGAAAGUUUGCGGCUCAACCGUAAAAUUGCAAUUGAUACUGGCAGCAUUGAGUACAGUCGAGGUAGGCGGAAUUCGUGGUGGAGCGGUGAAAUGCUUAGAUAUCACGAAGAACACCGAGUGCGAAGGCAGCUUACUAAACUGCGACUGACAUUGAUGCUCGAAAGUGUGGGUAUCAAACAGGAUUAGAUACCCUUGUAGUC
rnacentral:rRNA from 1 species